rnacentral:rRNA from 1 species
UGAGGAAUAUUGGACAAUGGGCGCAAGCCUGAUCCAGCCAUGCCGCGUGAAGGAUGACUGCCCUAUGGGUUGUAAACUUCUUUUAUGUAGGAAGAAACCCCUUCUCGUGAGAAGGGCUGACGGUACUACAAGAAUAAGGACCGGCUAACUCCGUG